CCUACGGGAGGCAGCAGUGGGGAAUCUUCCACAAUGGGGGAAACCCUGAUGCAGCGACGCCGCGUGAGCGAAGAAGUAUUUCGGUAUGUAAAGCUCUAUCAGCAGGGAAGAAAAAUGACUGUACCUGAAGAAGAAGCACCGGCUAACUACGUGCCAGCAGCCGCGGUAAUACGUAGGGUGCAAGCGUUAUCCGGAUUUACUGGGUGUAAAGGGCGAGUAGACGGCGUUGCAAGUCAGAUGUGAAAGGCUAGGGCUCAACCUUAGGAGAGCAUCUGAAACUGUAAUGCUAGAGUGCAGGAGAGGUA
rnacentral:rRNA from 1 species